rnacentral:rRNA from 1 species
GACGAACGCUGGCGGCGUGCUUAACACAUGCAAGUCGAACGGAAAGGCCCUGCUUUUGUGGGGUGCUCGAGUGGCGAACGGGUGAGUAACACGUGAGUAACCUGCCCUUGACUUUGGGAUAACUUCAGGAAACUGGGGCUAAUACCGGAUAGGAGCUCCUGCUGCAUGGUGGGGGUUGGAAAGUUUCGGCGGUUGGGGAUGGACUCGCGGCUUAUCAGCUUGUUGGUGGGGUAGUGGCUUACCAAGGCUUUGACGGGUAGCCGGCAUGAGAGGGUGACCGGCCACAUGGGGACUGAGAGACGGCCCAGACUCCUACGGGAGGCAGCAGUGGAGAAUAUUGCACAAUGGGCGGAAGCCUGAUGCAGCAACGCCGCGUGCGGGAUGACGGCCUUCGGGUUGUAAACCGAUUUCGCCUGUGACGAAGCGUGAGUGACGGUAAUGGGUAAAGAAGCACCGGCUAACUACGUG